rnacentral:lncRNA from 1 species
AGACGAAAUGUAUUUUGGAAAUUUCGAUUCAUAAAUGUCCAAUAUGAAAUAAUUAAUGUGGUACGAUAGUUUACGAAAAUAAAUCGAACAAAUAUCACGAAAAUACACUUUUGACAUCGUUACGAAUGUAUUAAUUUAGUGUGUUGGUGGUUUUUAAAAUGCCAUUGAGAAGGAAGAAAUGUUCACGGUGAAAUGAGAGUAACUUCCGAACAGGAACACUGUUAUAUUACAUUUGAGAAAAAUAAAUAUUGCUCGUAACUUUUCAAUAACACAAUUAGUGUAUACCUAUUAUCGAUUCAGUGUUCGUUAUGGCGUUGCGUAGUUAAUGUAAAAUGUUCCGUAUUAAAUUACGUGUUAAUAAGUAACAGUCAAGGGAUUGUGUACCGACGUUUUCUUUUUUUGUCCCUACACAUGUACAGCGUCAACAAUUUAGACCAGUUUUCCAGCUGUGAAAAUUCGGAAAAGAGAUUCGAAUUCAGCACGGAGUGUACAGGUCCGGCCUAUUUUAUUCCGAACUUAUUUGUUGUUUGUUUUUUUUAUACAUUUUGAAUUAUUAAAAUCUUCAAAUCGGAAGUAUUCAAAACGAUCGAUUGAUAUUCGGAAAAAAACGAAAUAAUCGACCGACUCCGCGUUCAACUCGAAUCUGUUUUAAAGAAUUCGUAUCGGUUCGCAAAACCGAUCGAACCGAUCGCCGGAAAAUCGACCCGAAUGCCGAGUGUGUGUCAGACAAAGAAUGAACAUAAUCCCUUACUGCGGGCAACAAGUCAGAUUUUAAACAUUGAGUAUGAAUAUAUUAUGCGGCCACUUAUAUACUUACCGUUAUAAUACGAUAAACGAACAAAUUAAAUCCAUUGUGUUAACGUUUUGUCGGCAAUAUGCAUCGGAUAGCGAAAUGUUUCGUUUUCUCGGCCUCUCGGGAUAUAAUAAAAUAGGUUCAACGGUUACAAAAAAAAAAAAAAAAAAAAAGCCAUUUUGUUAUCUAAAAUUCACGGAUAUACGGUUAAAAGAGAAUAAACGCUUCGCACCAUAAACGACCCCGGGAUUGAUCGAUCGUUUUUGUUUUUUUUUUUUGUUACAUGCCCGUGCUUAGCUAAUUGGGACGUAUUUCGUUUGUAACAAACACGAGGAAUAAAUUAGGAUUGAAAAAAAAAAAAAUUUAAAAUAACUAAAUGUUAUUUUUAUUAUUAUUAUUAGUAGUAGUAGUACGGUAGUUACUUAUAUAGGCGACGCGCGACGCACAUGAUCGCCGCGCGUUUCUUUCCGAGACCUAUAAAAAUCGUGUAAGAUUUUACUGUUUCUUUUUCCGCGUUCCCCUUUCCUUUAUUAUUAUUAUUAUUAUUAUUAUUAUCAUUAUAUUAAUGCACCGAGCGUGUUCCGGAAAGGCAUUUUUAUUUCAUGCUUGUGAACGCACAAAGGAUUUUUAUAUUAUCCGUACUUAUGUAUAAAUAUAUAACCGAAGGCGCUCCCGUAAGAUAAUUUUCAAGGGGAAGGACAAACUGCAACCGGGUCUCUGAACAUGCAUUAUUUAAAGAAUAAUAUAUGCGGCUAUAAGAACACAAGAUCUGUAAAAAAAAAAAAAAAAGUUAUGAUAGAUUCACUGCAAGGAGUUGAAUCGAUAAUCGUCUAGGCUGUGCGUCAAGGAUCGUGAAGAAAAGUUUUUUGUGGGUUUCAAUAUUUUCCGAAAAGAGGCGUAGGAAACACGUCCGCUCCUGCCUCCUCCUAAUAGGCGCCCGUAUACAAACAGUGUUGUAAUCCUAAAUAAUGAGAUGCAUAAAAAAAAAAAAACAAAAAAACAAUUUGUUUAUAAAGUUCUCUUCAUAAAAUAUAUUCGC